rnacentral:rRNA from 1 species
CGCGUGGGAACGUGCCCAGAUCUACGGAAUAGCCACUGGAAACGGUGAGUAAUACCGUAUACGCCUCGGGAAGGAUUAUCGAUUGAUCGCCGCGUUAGAUUAGGUAGUUGGUGGGGUAACGGGCCGUACCAAGCCUACGAUCUAUAGCUGGUUUUAGUAGGAUGAUCAGCAACACUGGGACGUGAGACACGGCCCACGACUCCUACGGGAGGGCAGCAGUGGGGAAGUCUUGCACAAUGGAGGAAACUCUGGUGCAGCGAUGCCGCGUGAGUGAAGAAGGCCUUUGGGUUGUAAAGCUCU